rnacentral:rRNA from 1 species
AUUGAACGCUGGCGGCAUGCUUUACACAUGCAAGUCGAACGGCAGCGCGGGCUUCGGCCUGGCGGCGAGUGGCGAACGGGUGAGUAAUGCAUCGGAACGUGCCCAGUAGUGGGGGAUAGCCCGGCGAAAGCCGGAUUAAUACCGCAGACGACCUGAGGGUGAAAGCGGGGGACCGAAAGGCCUCGCGCUAUUGGAGCGGCCGAUGUCGGAUUAGCUAGUUGGUGGGGUAAAGGCUUACCAAGGCGACGAUCCGUAGCUGGUCUGAGAGGACGACCAGCCACACUGGGACUGAGACACGGCCCAGACUCCUACGGGAGGCAGCAGUGGGGAAUUUUGGACAAUGGGGGCAACCCUGAUCCAGCCAUGCCGCGUGCGGGAAGAAGGCCUUCGGGUUGUAAACCGCUUUUGUUCGGGAAGAAAUCCUCUGGGCUAAUACCCCGGGGGGAUGACGGUACCGGAAGAAUAAGCACCGGCUAACUACGUG